AUUGAACGCUGGCGGCAGGCCUAACACAUGCAAGUCGAACGAGUGGCGGACGGGUGAGUAAUGUCUGGGAAACUGCCUGAUGGAGGGGGAUAACUACUGGACACGGUAGCUAAUACCGCAUACCAUCAUAUGUGCCCAGAUGGGAUUAUCUUGUUUGGGGGGUAACGGCUCACCAAGGCGACGAUCCCUAGCUGGUCUGAGAGGAUGACCAGCAACACUGGAACUUAGACACGGUCCAGACUCCUACGCGAGGCAGCAGUGGGGAAUAUUGCACAAUGGGCGCAAGCCUGUUGCAGCCAGGCCGCGUGUAUGAAGAUGGCCUUCGGGUUGUAAAGUACUUUCAGCGGGGAGGCGUUACCCGCAGAAGAAGCACCUGCUAACUCCGUGACAGCAGCCGCGGUAAUUC
rnacentral:rRNA from 1 species